rnacentral:rRNA from 1 species
AGUAACGCGUAAGGAACUUGCCUCUUGGUCUGGGACAACUGUUGGAAACGACAGCUAAUACCGGAUAUUAUGAGAUUCUCGCAUGGGAAACUUAUGAAAGCUAUAUGCGCCAAGAGAGAGCCUUGCGUUCCAUUAGCUAGUUGGUGGGGUAACGGCCCACCAAGGCGACGAUGGAUAGCCGGCCUGAGAGGGUGAACGGCCACAAGGGGACUGAGACACGGCCCUUACUCCUACGGGAGGCAGCAGUGGGGAAUAUUGGACAAUGGGCCACAAGCCUGAUCCAGCAAUUCUGUGUGCACGAUGAAGGUCUUCGGAUUGUAAAGUGCUUUCAGUUGGGAAGAAGAAAGUGACGGUACCAACAGAAGAAGCGACGGCUAAAUACGUGCCAGCAGCCGCGGUAAUACGUAUGUCGCAAGCGUUAUCCGGAUUUAUUGGGCGUAAAGCGCGUCUAGGCGGAAAAAUAAGUCUGAUGUUAAAAUGCGGGGCUCAACUCCGUAUUGCGUUGGAAACUGUUUUUCUAGAGUACUGGAGAGGUGGGCGGAACUACAAGUGUAGAGGUGAAAUUCGUAGAUAUUUGUAGGAAUGCCGAUGGAGAAGUCAGCUCACUGGACAGAUACUGACGCUAAAGCGCGAAAGCGUGGGGAGCAAACAGGAUUAGAUACCCUGGUAGUCCACGCCGUAAACGAUGAUCACUAUGUGUUGGGGGUCGAACCUCA